GCGGCAUGGCUCAUUCCGGAAGUACAUGCCUGUGUUGCUUUCCGAGCUUGGCUCAACAUGGCGGCGGGGGAGCAGCAGGCAGCUCACAGACCGGGGGCCUACAAACAGCAGAAUAAGCCGCACAAAACUGGCAGGCACCGGGGCCGGGGAGCUCAGGACAGGGAGAAUAAAGGCCGCGUCGCAGCAAAAUCUCUCAGUAAAAAAAUCAAAAAAGAUCUGAGGAAACUGGACAGGCGACACAAAGCCAAUCAGAUUCGCAGGCAGCGGAAAGAAGCCGUUCUUGCUGAGAAGCGAAGUCUGGGCACUAAAGAUGGCCCACCACAUCUGGUGAUAGCAAUUUCACUUCAUGCCAACGCAGUUAAAAGUGACAUGUUCAGCUUGAUACAGAAUAAUGAAGGGGACAUACUGCAUGUAAAUGACCAGAUUAAGGGUUUGCUUGCUCUGGUCUGCCCAAAAGUCAAACAAAGAUGGAGUUUCAUUAAAGCUAACAGAGAUGACCUCUGUUCUCUUCUGGAUUUGGCAAAGGUGGCCGACACUCUUUUGUUUCUACUGGAUCCUCAAGAAGGCUGGGAUAGUUAUGGGGAUUAUUGCCUCUCUUGCCUCUUUGCCCAGGGCCUUCCAAGUUUUGUGCUUGCUGUUCAGGGAAUGAAUGACAUUGCAAUAAAGAAAAGGGCAGACAUCAAGAAACAUCUGAGUAAAGUAAUUGAAAACAGGUUCACUGAUGCCAAGUUGUUUCACCUGGACACAGAACAGGAGGCUGCUGUGCUAAUAAGGCAAAUUGCCACCCAGAAACAGAGACACUUGGCAUUCCGCAGUAGGCGAUCUUACAUGCUGGCACAGAGAGCAGAUUUCCAGCCAACUGAUGAAAGUGGUCUUGUGGGCACCCUGAAGGUGUCUGGUUAUGUGCGAGGACAGGAACUGAAUGUAAACAGACUUUUGCACAUAGUGGGACACGGAGACUUUCAGAUGAGCCAGAUCGAUGCAUCACCUGACCCAUACCCACUAAACCCAAGAGUUCACAAGCCUAAGAUAAAGAGUGUGCAGGACGUAGAGAUGUCGCUUCCUUGUCUCAUUUCAAAGGAUGAGCUUGCCAAUAGCACAGACAUGGAGCAAGAUAUUAAAGUGCUAAUGAAGGCAGAUCCCUCUGCACGAGAGUCAUUGCAGUGUGAGGUAGUUCCAGACCCUAUGGAGGGAGAGCAGACAUGGCCAACUGAAGAAGAACUGAAGGAGGCGGAAGAUGCUUUGAAAGGAACUUCAAAGGUUGUAAAGAAGGUUCCAAAAGGAACAUCUGCUUAUCAGGCAGCAUGGAUCUUAGAUGAUGAGGAAGGUGAUGAAGAAGUAGAAAGUGAUGAAGAUGAGGAUGAAGACAUGGAAGAGGAUCCUGAAGAUGCAAUGGAUGAUGCAUAUUCUGAGGAGGAGGAAGGAAGUGGAAAUGAAGAGGCAGAGGAAAGUGAGACCCUUACUAUUCCUGAUAGUACAAGAGAUGACAAAUAUGAUGAAAACGUUGAUGAGCAAGAGGAAGAGCAGAUGCUGCAGAAGUACAAACUGCAACGACAAGAUGAGAUGUUUCCUGAUGAGGUGGACACCCCACGGGACCAGUUAGCUAGGACCAGGUUUCAAAAAUACCGCGGCUUAAAGAGCUUUCGCACAUCACCGUGGGAUGCAAAGGAAAACCUUCCGAGAGAUUAUGCCCGUAUCUUUCAGUUUCAUGACUUCUUUAGAACCAGGAAACGUGUCCUUAAGGAAACUGAAGAAAAGGAUGAAGGUGCCAUGGUUGGCUGGUAUGUUACAGUCCACAUCAGUGCAGUUCCUGUGUCCGUUAUGGAGCAUUUCAAACAUGGGCUACCUCUUGUCCUUUGUUCUCUUCUCCCCCAUGAACAGAAGAUGUCCGUAUUGAAUAUGCUGGUUAGAAGACAUCCUGGAAAUACUGAGCCAAUCAAAGCCAAAGAGGAACUUAUAUUCCAUUGUGGAUUUAGGCGUUUCCGUGCAUCUCCUCUCUUUUCUCAGCACACAUCAGCUGAUAAACACAAAUCUGAACGCUUCCUGCGCUCUGACACAGCUGUGGUUGUCACCGUGUAUGCACCUAUUACUUUCCCACCAGCGUCGAUGCUCUUGUUUAAGCAAAGACAUAAUGGAAUGCACGACCUGGUGGCUACUGGUUCUUUGCUGAAUGUUGAUCCAGACCGAAUCAUCAUCAAGAGGAUUGUUCUAAGUGGUCAUCCAUUUAAAAUAAUGAAACGAACAGCCGUGGUGCGGUACAUGUUCUUUAACAGAGAGGAUGUGUUGUGGUUCAAGCCAGUAGAACUUCGCACAAAGUGGGGGCGCAGGGGACAUAUUAAAGAACCCCUUGGAACCCAUGGACACAUGAAGUGCCAUUUUGAUGGGCAGUUGAAAUCACAGGACACCGUGUUAAUGAACCUGUAUAAGCGUGUAUAUCCUAAAUGGACCUUUGACCCAUAUGUGCCUCGACCUGUCACUUGGGUUAAGAACGAAAACACAGUUGACAUUACAGAGGUGGAAAUGGACUAAGUCAGUACCAGUUCCUAGUCUGAGUGCCUUGAUAAAGACCCACAAUUAAAUCUGUAUUUAUUUUAAGCCAUGGAAUCAAUUAUAACAAAUUCCAAAAUCUGUGUUGUCCGCUACUGUGUGAAACAAAGUUGCCUUCUACUGCUUCCAGUCUUAAACCAGUUCUGGUUUGCUGCAGCAGUGACAAGAUUUGCUCGUUCAGAUGUCUCCAUCCUGCUGUAAUUUCAUUCAUGUAGCCAUUCUGCGCUUGCCAAAUCGAUAUUUCCACCACAGAGCACUACACCUAUAUUCUGAAUGUUGCCAGCAACCUCUUGAAAAUGUGUGGUGAGAACUGCAGCCAAACCCAAACCUGCUGUUGGUUCUAUCAGCAGCUUCAGUCUUUCCCAUACAAGGCGUGUAGCUGCCUGAAAUAAUGAUAGAAUUAGUGGUAACAUACUGUACAUAUUUGUACUUCUCUUUAGUAUUUCUUGAGGGGAUUCUGAGAUAAAUUACUCCAUGCCCCUGUCUGAAAGUUAGUCCUGUACAAAACCGACGUGGUGGCAAAUGGGGACAGUGCCUGUUAUGCAAACCUGGUGAAAAUUGUGGAGAAAUGAGAAAAGGGUGGACUGCUACAAUUUAGAUGGCCAAUUGCCUUUUAAUGAUCUCUUAUUAAAUGAUUCUGCCUUUAGGCUGGCAGUCAAUCAACCCUACCUCAACUUAUGCUAUGUUGAAAUAGUCUUUGCGAGGCAAUGUUUCAUGGGUUUCUCACAGGAUAUAUAUUAAAAUACACUGAAAGGAAUAGCUUAAUUAUUUACACAGCAUGAUAAAUAUACCAAUUAGUUAUUCUGUGGUAUGUAUACUAAAAGAAGGUGAUGGAACAAACAGCUUUUGUUUACUUACUGUAUUACAUGCAUCUAUACUA